CCCUCCACGAUUGCAGCUCUCGAUCGCAGUGCUCUCCUCCACGGGCGACGGCGCGUGCUUCCUUCCACGGGCGUUGGCGCAAUACUCUCCUCCACGGGCGUCGGUGCGGUCAUCUUUUCCAUGGACGCUGCUCCAUGGCGACGGCGCGGUGCGCUCCUUGUUUUGUGCCGAACCACCACCGUCGAGAAAUCCCUCUCCCUUCUCUUCUCAUUCUUCCUCUCCUUCCCUUGUCUCGCCUCCUCCUCUUCGCGAGCUCUGACAACGCUACACGCUGCUGUAACCAUCCUCCUCCUCCUCUGCGUAUUGGUAAGACAUGUAGCAGGGUGGCAAGAAGUUGCUGUCCAUGGCCCAAUUCAAAAUCGAACUCAAAUCCAAGCCCCAAUCCUUUGAGAAGAAGGCUUGAAUCCUAGGGAGAUGCUUAUGUAAUAUGUGGUGGAGUUUGGAAAUUCUGGCCGCUAGAGCUUAUGGCUUGCCUCAAUUUCGACUGUGAGUGUUUUUAUGGGGUGCUAAAUCUUCUGAUAUAAAUACAGUUGCACAUGAUGAGGGUCACCAUAUUAUAUUGAAAAAAAACAACUUAUAUUGGAAGAUGCUAUUUCUGAUCUUUCUCUGGUAUAUUUUCAUUUUUUAUUCAUCCUUUUAUUGCCUUUAUGUUUUAUGAUAAUUUGGUUGUUGAUGAAUAUUAUUAUCCUAUUCAAAUUGAGCAUGAUAAAAGUCAUGAUGUUCAUUUGGUCCUUAUAUUAUGUUAAUUUACACUAUAUCGUUGUUUUCUUUAGUAUU